CGCAUUACGGAACCGCUUAUCCGGACAACAGUAGUCAAAUCAAACACGAAGCUAUUAACUAGGUCAACAUUUCGGGUUUGGGGUACUUAGUCCUGACUACUUGGUACCUUCGUCAGUGAGCUGCACGUCAUAUGGGUCGUACGGACUCUCGAUGCCCCCACCAAUAUUGUUUUAGGCACGGCCCUUGGCUAGCGAAGUUUUGUAACUCGAGAAACGAGCGCCACUCGUGGCUGCAACGGACAAGAUACCAAUAGGUGUCGGAAGAUCUAGUCGAGUACUUAAGUUCUCGAGAUAUCCUGUCUACACUUGUGUUCCUGUAUCCUGUAACGCAACAUCUAUACUUCUGUGUGAACUGUGGCAGCUGCCAAUUUUUCUAUACCAAUAUAGGUUUUCUUCAAGAAAGCAGAAUGCUCCUUAAUAAACGCAGCAGGUUUUCUUCGUUUGAGCUUCUUCGAUGCACUAAUGGAAAUGAAAUCCCUUAGGAUAAAGGCUCCGGACAGCAGCUUCGACAAAGGUGAGUUCAGUCGACCCUUAAAACUCAAUCUCGACCCCGAUGUUACCUGCUCAUGCUCUUGUUCGUCGUUUCAAUGAUUACGCGAAAACAUUGAAAAUACCCGGCCGCCCUAGUCCCUCGUUACAGCGAGUUAAUCAACUUAUUAAUUAAUAUUAUCCGGCCUGUCUCCCUUAAUAGGGGAAGAUCAGCGUCGAAUAAAGCCGGCUACUCCUUCGAAGGGUGAUCGAAACCAAUAAAAAGUCGAGCCCGAUCUUCCCUUCGCGGGACUUGGACGAAAA